AUGAGCAAGACAAUUGAGGCUAGACAGUUCCCAAGUAGUACACCCGACGCGAUUUCAAUGUCGUACAUGAGGAAAGGUUUGAUGUUUGAGCACAUGCUAGAAUUCAGGAUGUGGUUGUGUGAGUAUGCUGUCAAACACCACAGGCCUUUCAUACUUGUUCACUCGGACUGCAACAAGCGAUGCACCAUGAAAUGUGAGGUAAAAAGAUGCAAAUGUAAAGUCAAUGGAAGACUCACGAAAGAUGGUUGGUGGAAGAUAACUAGUUGCAAAGCCAUCCACCAAUGCACACCGCCGGCCGUAGAAGCACGGAAGACACACCGUCAACUAACCUCGGAAUUCAUUGGUUAUAAAUACCAGAAACAUAUAGCCGAGGAUCCAACCAUUAAAGUGCAGUUGUUGAUGAGUUGGAUUGAAGAUAAGUUCGGAUAUAAGGUCAAGUACGGGAAGACAUGGAAGACCAAGCAAGUCGCUCUCAGAAUGUUGUACGGUGGAUGGGAAGAGGCUUACAACAUGCUACCUAGGUUGCUGGGAGCGAUGUCGUAUAGAAACCCAGGAAUGUACCACUAUGUCCAAGAUAUUGAAGGAGUGUUCCGUCAUGGGACAUUCUUGACAGGGAAAUAUAAGGACACACUCAUGAUAGCAAUGGCACAUGAUGCUAACGAUCAGGUGUUACCUGUGGCAUUUGCUUUGGUCUCCGUGGAGAACCAAGACAACUGGGAAUGGUUCAUGAGACUUGUUAGGAGCACGGUCAUUCCUCCGAAUAGGGAGUCAUUCACGACCCGCUUGAACAAAAUCUAUGAGAAGGCAAACAAAGAUGGGAAAGAUUUCUUAGAAAAGAAUAUUGAUGAAAGACACAAGUGGUCAUGGGCAUGUGACGAAGGAGGCAUGAGAUAUGGUGACAUGACAAGCAAUCUUGUUGAGUGCUUCAACUUUGUCUUGAAGGGUGCCCGUCAGUUGCCGGUGACGGCAAUAGCGGAAUAUACCUUUUACAAGCUAAAUGAGUAUUUUUUUAAGCACUUCGAUGAAAUCGACAAGUUGAUUGCUGAUAGUGAGAAGCCUCCCAAUGAAAUUUAUCCGAAGAAGGUUGCCGAGUGGCUGGAGUUUCAGAGAGACAAGUCAGCCAUCUAG
rnacentral:rRNA from 1 species